CCUACGGGAGGCAGCAGUGAGGAAUAUUGGUCAAUGGUCGGGAGACUGAACCAGCCAAGCCGCGUGAGGGAUGAAGGUACAGAGUAUCGUAAACCUCUUUUGUCAGGGAACAAAGGCGGGGACGUGUCCCCGGAUGAGUGUACCUGAAGAAAAAGCAUCGGCUAACUCCGUGCCAGCAGCCGCGGUAAUACGGAGGAUGCGAGCGUUAUCCGGAUUUAUUGGGUUUAAAGGGUGCGCAGGCGGUCUGUUAAGUCAGCGGUCAAAGCCCGGGGCUCAACCCCGGCCCGCCGUUGAAACUGGCAGUCUAGAGUUGGAGAGAAGUAUGCGGAAUGCGCGGUGUAGCGGUGAAAUGCAUAGAUAUCGCGCAGAACUCCGAUUGCGAAGGCAGCAUGCCGGCUCCACACUGACGCUGAGGCACGAAAGCGUGGGUAUCGAACAGGAUUAGAUACCCUGGUAGUC
rnacentral:rRNA from 1 species